CCCAUUCCUUUAUUACAUAAUUACAUUUGAGUCUCCCGAGUAUUUAUACGAAGUCUAAAUACAGAGGCCCUAAGUAUGGUAUAAACAACAACAGCAGCCAAAUGCUGCUUCAAAUUUUUUUGGUGUUUAAAAAAAAAUGCUGCUUUAAAGCAUGGGGUUAUUUUUUUUUCAAACCAUGUUGCAACAGUGCAUGUUUAAUGAAAAUUUCAAAACACCAAAAACACCCUCGUCACUCUCCUAAUCUGCAAACUUCGCUAUUUCAAUAGUGGUCCCGACUCGCCUAUCAAAUCUUUCUUUUGGGGAUUGAUUCUGGGAAUUAAUUGACCAGCAAACGACAUUGAGGUUGUAAGUGGCACCUCGAAUCUGGGGGUUGAUUCACCAGCAACAGCGUCAUGGCUUCCCCAAAGCAGUAACUGUCCCUUCCCUCUCUCCUUGCACGAACCAUAUUACACAUCUACUCUUCAAAUUUCCAGCACCAUCUAACCACUGACUUGAUUCUUAUCCUCGUCGCCGAGCCUUCAAAACGCAGGCUACCCGCCACCCACUUGGUCGGGUUGAAGUCAGGAAGUUUCACACCACGACGCCGGCUCAGACUUUGACGAUGACGACUUCGAUGAGGUUGUUGUCAUCCUUCAGAUCAAAUCGGGGUGUUGGAUUACGAGUGGGUGCUUCGUUUUUGGCGAGGGGAAACACAAUGUUCAACAUGGUGAUAGGACCCAUUCCUUCGGAAGGGAAAAGAAAGGAAAAUGCAAAGAAAACAAGAAAUAAAAUAACAAUUCUUCGUUCAUGCUCUCCCAAAUGGUUAAAGUUGGUUCUUAUACAACCCUAGAGAAAGGAGUGUGCACGAUUGGACACGUCACAACUCCCAGACCGUUGGAUGAUGCCAACACUUACAAAUGAAAUGACAAUAAUACCAUAAUGAUAUAAACCCAAUAACUAGGAUCCUAACACGUGGUGGUUUGGGUUGUCGACUGUG
rnacentral:lncRNA from 1 species